AAAAAUUAGAGUCACCGUUCAUCGACAAUCGAACAUUCAACCCUUCUUUGCUGCGACGAACAAUAAAACACCGUCGUCGUCCGAAAAUUAAUCAAAAAUAUUGUCUCGAUUAAAUUCGCCAUGAAUCGAUCACGUCGGUUCAGUUUAUUCUCUUGCGUAUUGUUCUUGACUGUCGUGACAACUUCGAAUGCGUUACCUAAUCUGAGUCGGAUUGUGGGAGGAGUGACGGCUGCGGAUGGCGCAUUUCCUUGGCAGGUGAUACUCCGAUCAUCGGGUGUAUUUUUCUGCGGAGGAACAAUCGUCACCGAUCGCCACGUUGUCUCUGCAGCUCAUUGUUUUUCGGACACAAGUAGUAAAAGUGUUAAUAACUUGGCGGUGAUCAGCGGGACGAAUAGUUUGGAUAACGGAGGCCAGGCUCACGCUGUCGCUAAGAUAACGAAACACCCGAAGUACAUCGGAAAGACCGACUUUUGGAAAUACGAUGUCGCGGUUCUAACGCUCAGGGCUCCGAUCGCAAUAACACCCCUGCAAUCGCCGAUUCCUCUGGCUAGAAGGGAUCCCCCGGCAGGCGCACGUGCGAUCGUUAGCGGAUGGGGGCAAACUAUGGAUUCGAAUUACAACUUACCAUCGAGACUUCAAUACUUCACCCCGAAUAUAAUAAGUAACACCAAGUGCGAGAGCACCCUGAGGUCACAAGUGGCCCGGGUUCAUAUUUGCGCGCAUGAAAAUAGAGCAGGUGGAGUCUGUAUGGGGGACAGUGGCGGUCCUCUAGUUUACGAUGGAAAACUAGUCGGCAUUGUGUCCUGGGGGCAGCGCCCUUGCGCUUCCCUUCCCGACGCCUACACCAGAAUAACUUUGGUAUUGGAUUUCAUCGAAGAUGUCAUCAGGAAAUAAUGACGUGCAAUUUUAUGUGCAUCCGACAGGAGUUUUCAGCCUGGAAGACAGCGGAGAAGAAGGAGUAGUGUAAUUUGUAGCCCGUUAAAUCUAAAUUAUCAGGAACGAUCUUUCAGCAGUUGUGGAUGCACUGCUCGUGGAGAUCGCAGGUUGCGUGUCGCGUGGGAAUGGGCAUUCGAGUCCGUGAUGAAUUCAGCGAAAACAAACGAGUUUUGGUCAUGCAGCGAUGGAAAAUUAUGCAACGAUUACGCUGCGCUCUGAAAUUCCAUUGGGGUACCAACUUUAUGACGGCUUCGUGACCCCAUAUUUCAUCGCCCGGGAUGAGAUCUUUUUGUAUAACCUUAUAUUAUACUAUAAACGACG